rnacentral:rRNA from 1 species
GAGGUAUCAGAAGUGCGAAUGCUGACAUAAGUAACGAUAAAGCGGGUGAAAAGCCCGCUCGCCGGAAGACCAAGGGUUCCUGUCCAACGUUAAUCGGGGCAGGGUGAGUCGACCCCUAAGGCGAGGCUGAAAAGCGUAGUCGAUGGGAAACAGGUUAAUAUUCCUGUACUUGGUGUUACUGCGAAGGGGGGACGGAGAAGGCUAGGCUGGCCGGGCGACGGUUGUCCCGGUUUAAGCGUGUAGGGGGUGUGACCUGGUAAAUCCGGUUGCAUAUCAACCCUGAGGCGUGAUGACGAUGCACUACGGUGCAGAAGUAGUUGAUGCCCUGCUUCCAGGAAAAUCCUCUAAGCUCCAGGUAACAUUAAAUCGUACCCCAAACCGACACAGGUGGUCAGGUAGAGAAUACCAAGGCGCUUGAGAGAACUCGGGUGAAGGAACUAGGCAAAAUGGUGCCGUAACUUCGGGAGAAGGCACGCUGGCAUGUAGGUGAAGUCCCUUGCGGAUGGAGCUGAAGCCAGUCGAAGAUACCAGCUGGCUGCAACUGUUUAAUAAAAACACAGCACUGUGCAAACACGAAAGUGGACGUAUACGGUGUGACGCCUGCCCGGUGCUGGAAGGUUAAUUGAUGGGGUCAGCCGCAAGGCGAAGCUCUUGAUCGAAGCCCCAGUAAACGGCGGCCGUAACUAUAACGGUCCUAAGGUAGCGAAAUUCCUUGUCGGGUAAGUUCCGACCUGCACGAAUGGCGUAAUGAUGGCCAGGCUGUCUCCACCCGAGACUCAGUGAAAUUGAACUC